CUUGCGGGAGAGAUCGGCUGCGAGCCGGCGCCGAAGGAGCAACCGCCCCGGAAUCUCUCAGGCAAACGGACCGCAAGG
rnacentral:ncRNA from 1 species